AUCUAUCUGGAGAUCACUCCCUUUGGAGCUCUUCUGUGAGCCCAGGAUAUGGGAGAAAUUCCUUUAGUCCAUUUCCAACCCAUAAAGAAAAAUGAAAAAUCCUCUACAGGAAAACACCAAUUUGUGUAGUGCACUGAAGAUGGCACUGUAGUAACAACUUCACCCUGUGAAUGAUAAGGUAUGCUUGUGUUUGUUGCUGAGAAUUUAUGAUUUUUUUUAUUUAUUUAGCUCAGCUAAUGUAAAGCCAAAGGUCAGAUUAAUGGAGCACCAUCUGACGCUGCUGUAAUUAGGGCUGGAGAAGUGUUUCCUUUACUUGAAUUUAUUCAUAGGGAGAUUUGGACCCAGCCCAUGCUGUGUGGAAUAGUUUAUAAUUGUCUGUAGAAAACUUUUUAAUUACAAAGAAACUGGAAAUGUAAUGAAGAAAAUCCUUGCUGUUAGGGUGUCACUUUUACACAUCUGUAACCCUUGGGGGCUGUGUUAAGUCAGCAGAUCCCUAAAGACAUGGUGGACCCCAGGGCAGGGCCUCACGCUUAUUGGUUUUGUUAUGCAAACCUUCCAAAAAAUCAGUUUCUUGUAGAGUUUGGAGGGUUUUAUUCACGUGAAACAGCGUCUUCAAGUUAAAUAAAUAAAGAAGCACGUACGUACAAAGACUGGUAGUGAUAGGUCAGAGUCACAAUUUAGUUAGUGAUGAUUUGUAGUAAAAAUAAAGAAAACCAAACAGAUUUAAGCUGACAGAUCUAUAGGUCUGCAGUAAUCUCUUUAUCCAUUUCUUUAUCCACCCCUAUUAAAUCUUUCAAUCAGGCCAGGCGGGAGUUUUGGUUUGUUUUGAAGUGUGUGAGUAAUUGGGCCCCUGUGCACCAAUUAUUUCCUCACUGCUAUGUCCAUCAUUCAUACCUAAAUGAUUUUGGAGGGGAUUAAACAUGGAAACUUUGCUUUUUUCUCAGGACUUCAAGCUACUGGGACUGCUCAUGGGAACUACCACCACGGGGCUUUAUUUAUUUAUUUGUUCAUAUGCAUUUGUUUAUUUAGUGUUGGACUUUAUUUACUUGUUUGUUUGCUUAUUUAGUGUUGAAAAAAAGCAGGAUUUAAAACUCCAAAAAUGUCAAUGAUAGACAGCAGCUGCUCCAAAUGACCUAAUAAUCUCUAUCAGCAAGUUGAAAGUGGGGCAGAGUUCAAAGCCCUCAGAAUAUGGUUCUUAGGUGCUGGGCUGCAGGAAAAGACAUGAUGUUCUGAUGGGUGUUUGGCUUCUUUUCUGUAUCAGGAAUGAUGCAAAGCCAGCCAGAUGUUGCAUGUCUUUAGGAAAACCUGUGCACAAAUCUGAGGUGUCACAUCUGGUUAAAAGUCCUGGCUCCUGAACAUCCCUUUCUGUGGCUGUAUGCUUGUUCCUUUUCCCUGCAGGGAUUGGCUUUAUGGUUGUUUUUUUUUCUUCUUUUUAGAUGCCCCAGCCUUAGCCCAGGUGUGGUGGGAGGGAGAGAAAGCAGUGCUUUGCUUUGCUUGGCACAGGCUCUUCUGAUCGAUUAACAACUGUUUGCUUCCGCAGACAUCCUUAGCUCGUGUUCCUCGGUGGGAAGGAUGACAGUCACACGGGGCAUGGGGAGAAGUGUUAUGUGAGGCAUUUCUAGUGGAGACAGAAAGAAAUAGACACAAAAACGUGUGGCUGUGAAAGCGAUUCUGGCUGCGUUGCAUGCUGGCACUAAAGUGGAAACCAGCGUGGGCACCAUCUUCAGGCCCUGGAUGAAAGCUGAGCUGCUAAACACCAGCUCUGCAGCAUCACCCAAGGUGAGGGCCUAGGAGCUCAGCAGCAAGCCCUUUGGGGUUAGGGCUUUCAGUCUUUCUUCUCCCACACAAUAGGCAUUUCGGAAGCCCUUUGUGUGCAGUUCUUCAAAGAUCUGGGAGUUAAAUAACUAAAUAUGUUUAGGGCCUUGAUCUUGGAAUAAAUCUGGUGGUAACUCUUUAAUUAUCCCAGCAGGGUGCUCCUUUCUGCACACAGAACUCCUCAGCUGCUUUCACUCUGAACCUUGCUUAUGUUUGCCUUCUCUGCCUGCCCAAUUCUUCUGACAAGAACAACUGCAGUUCCCUCUACGGAGAAGGAUGGAACGCUGGUUUUUGCUCAGGUUUGAAUGAUAACCAGCAGCUAAUCAUCUCUGUUUGUGCCUACAUCCUUCUACCACAACCUCCAGCUACAUUAAAACAGAAUGUGGGGUGAUAGAGAGAGUCACAAGUGAUGCAAGUAGCUCAUGGUAAGCUAAGGGCAUAUUUGAGAGAUACUGAGGGAUGAACUGAAGCAAUUUGUUCUGGAGGUCCAGAGAUGGAUUUUUUUGUUAGAGGUGACUUUGGGAUCAUAGGAUUGCUUAGGUGCUUGUAAAGCACUUAGCAAGCAAAUCAAUGAGUUAUGUGAAACAGGCUGAGCUGCUACAAAAAAUGUGUACUCUAACUUAUAUACUCAGGUAAACUUUUGGAGAUCUCUGUGAUGCAUUGGUCAUUAAUAGUUAAUGUAUCACGUAUUAAAUAUUUCAUUCUGUAUAGUUCUUUAAUGGAAAAGUGAUGGAUUGUGUUGUCUACAAGAAUCCAUUUAUAAAGAUCUGGUCGAUUUCUCCUUUUGAAAAAUAUUUAUAUCCAAUUUGCAGGAGGUAAAAUGUAUUAUGAAGAGAUUGGUUGUGCAGAUGUGUUGCCUUCUAAACUAAAGAAAGACAGGUCAGUAUCAGCAAGCAGUAUUUGUACAGCAAAAGGGCAGUCGUGAAACUAGUGAAACUACCACCUCCAUCUUCAUCAUCUCCAUGAUCACUCUGAGUUUGAGCCACUGCUUCUACCUCUCAUGGCUGAUGAAGCAGUGAUUACAUGAGGACUUGCAUUAGCAUAGGCUGUAGUGCAAGGAAGAUUCAGAAACUACACAGUGUCCUUGUUCGUGCUGAGCAGUGCAGCCACAUCUCCGCACCUUUGGGACUUAAAGCCUCUGCUACUAUAGUGCUUGUGUCCUUAAGACUGGAGCCACUGAAGCAGACCAAGACAGAAGACAGGAGAGAAGAAACACUAUUAGAAAGUAGUGUUGUGCAAUCAUUCUCCUUUUUUUUUUUUGUGUAGUGAUGUCACUUGAAAACUGUGUCACAGUCUCUCCUGUUUUUGUCAUCUCAUGUGGCCACCACCUCCCUUUGUCCCAUGCACAAAUCCUGGUAUGUAUUAAAAGCGCUCUCUCUUAGUUUGUUUCUCAAGCCUCCCACUAUGUGACAGACCAUGAACACUUUCCUUUUCCUCUUCCAGUAGUUUAUGCUCUAAAUCCAGCAGAGAGCUUUCUUAGGUCUUUAAUAGCAAGCUUAAGGUUAAGCAUUUGUUUAAGCACGCUGCUAAACUGUGUUCUGCUGAAUCUCAGCCAAAAGAAAACAGAUGGGCUAAUUUACCCUGAUGUUCUUCUGUGAGCCUUCAGGAGAGCUGUAAGAGCAGCAGCAUUGAAAGGUGUGCUCCAGAGCAAGUGAGAAGCAUAGCUAAGCAAUUCCAGGCCAGGAGGUGGCUUUGAUUUCCCUAGCAGGCUACAGAUUUGGGGAUCAUACUUGCCCUUGUUACUGCUCCCGUUCCAAGGAAGAAUGCCACCCUCUGUGCAAGGAAGUGCCAUCCAACCUGUGAGGCUCCCUUUUAUCUACAAGGUCAAGGAACAGCAGUCUUUGCUGUUUGUCACCAAGAAACAGCUGUGGCUGGACUGCACUCAGUGAGUAGGACUUUUCUUUCUGAUGCAUCAUCCCAUCUCUGCUGUAGCAUGUUUGAAAUAGAAUUGUGCUCCUCUUCCAACAGCACUUCUGAUGAUUUGGAAGGAGCGCAAACUGUUGAUGUAUCCUUAAAAGCUGUUCCCUUUUACUAGUGAGUAGCUUGUAUAAUUUGCCAUGCUUUGGGAUUGAAAGAUUUCUGAGAUUGAUGUUAGCCCAUUAGAACUUGGUUUAAAAUAUUGACCAGUGUCCAUCACUGAAGAAACAACGUGAUAAGUUUAAGCCUUUGAAAUACAUCACAUACUUGAAGUAUUAAAUAGUUGGCUAUGUAACAUAUUAGUGGGGGAAAAAAUAUUCUUGUUAGCUUAGGAGCAGAGAUUUGUGGAGCUAUGUUUUUAAAGGAAAUAAAUAACGUUGCUCACAAACAAAGUGCUGCUAAUGCUCGUGUUCAUUUUCAAAUGUGCUGACUGAAGUGUGAGGUCUCAAAAGGGUAUAAUACAGUCCUAGGGAAAGACAGGAAGUGAACACUGAAUUAAAAGCUUUAAUAUAAUUCAAGAAUAGUCUGAAUCAGUGCUGCAUUGGCAGUAUUUAUUGUUCCAGUGGUUUAUGUUUGGUGUGGUGUGUUUUUUUUUUUUGUGAGCAUGGUUUGGUUUCUGUAAUUGAUGACAUUCCUGCUCUCCAUGGGGAGCUGGCUUGUUACCAGAAAGUGUCUGUUUAUAGUUUUAAUGCCAAAUAAAAAAGUAUGGGGAAGAAAGGAAAGGUAGAACUUGAUCUUUAAAAUGUCUUUCUCAUGAAUUAUUUAUGCUAUUUAUACUGCAAGAUCAAAUGCUGUUUUUUUUUUUUAAAAAAAGUAUGACAGAGGUGGGAUAUGAGCAACAAAUCUUUGCUAAGAAAGAGAAAACAAAAGCACCUCCAAACCUCAAACAAAAAGUUUUCCUAAGAAAUAUCAAAGACCUAUGCUGGGGGGGCUGUAAAAUGCAGACCCAAAUCUAUCAGUUUAUUUUUACAGCAAGGUGUUGUCAAACUCUUCUCUGAUCUAAGACUAAACAGCAGUCUGCAGAGUGGGGUGGCAGAACACAAGUCGCCUUUGUUUUUAGAAUACUACAGGCUGGAAAGGGCCACUGCAUGCUGUAGCUUCAGUAAAAGCAGAGAAUUUCAGCUCCCUUCCCCUCCCUUUCCUUCUCCAACCCUUCUCUAAUCCUUCUCUAACCCUUCCCGUUGUGAAUGUUCAAGUCCCUUAAUUUAAUACAGUGAGCAAUGGAGGGUGUAUGUGAACUUCCAAUCUCACCUACCCUAAUUUUCUUCUGACCACCUAGAGAACAGCAGUGGACAUCUUUCUAAAUGUCAGUAGAUAUGUGCUGGGGAAGGGAUGCAAAAGAAAACACACACAAAACAAAACUUUUUAAUCAAUUUUCUGAGUUUAGGCAAUGCUGCAUUUGGCUUCCUAGGAAUAUGUCAUCUGAAAUACGUAGUGAAAGGUGCAGAUGAUGCCCAGAAGAUAGGUUUUGCUCUGAGUUCGUACAGAUAUCUGAGUGGAAGAUUUGUAUUGUAUUUGUAAUCUGUGUUACUUUCCAGGUUGCCUGGGGCAGGUGUGCCUACUCCUUGCUGUCCAUUUGCAUCUGUGACUUGCAGGAAGCUCACCCUCCAUGAAACCCACAGCUCCCUGCCAGUGAGCUGGAAGUGUUCUCAGUCUUGUCUUACCUCUGAGCGUGAAAGAGACAAAAUGCAGUGCUGGACCUGCUGCUCUACGACUCUGUGGAAUGGAUUGGUGGCAUCAGGAUUGGAGGCUGCUUGGGCUCUACUGACCACGCAAUGCUGGAGUUCAUGCUCUUGAGGGACACUGAUUGGCAAAGAUCAAAAAUCAGGAAGCUUAAUUUUAAGAAAAACAAAUUGCAGCUCUUCAGGGAGUCUGUCCUCAAGGACAAGGGAGUGGAGCAGAUCUGACAGGCCUUUAAGGAAGCUUUCUUCAGGGCACAAGAGUUCUCCAUCUCCUGGUGGAGGAAGUCAGGAAAAGAAGGCAAGAGACAGGCGUGUCUGAACUGGGACCUGCUGGUCAAACUGGAGAGCAAGAAUAAAAUGCACAGGCAGUGGAAGGAGGGACAGGUAACCUGGGAUGAGUAUUGGGAUGCUGCUAGACUGUGUAGGGAUGGGGUCAGGAAAGCCAAGGCCCAGAUGGAACUGGAUUGGCAAGGGGCACAAAGAAAGGUAACAAAGGUUUCUGUGUGUACAUCAAUGGGAAAAGGAAAGUCCAGUCCCCCUCCCCCCCCCCCCCCCAUCCUGAAAUGAGCAACACAGGUAACAACAGAGAAGGCUGAGGUAUUCCACAACUUUUUUGCCACAGUCUUCACUCGUGAAGCCCUACACACAGCCACUGGGUGGAUGGUUUGAAAGGUGGGAACUGGGGGAACAUCACCCCUCCUGUUAUAAGCAAAGGUCAGGUUUGCAACUGCUUGAGAAAAUUGAACAUCCCUAUGUCUAUGGGUACUGAUGAGGCACAUCUUGGAUUCCUGAGGGGACUGUCUGACAUAGUUGCCAAGCCAUUCUUGAUUGUAUUUCAGAAGUCAUGGUGGUCAGGUGAAGUCCCUGGUGACUGGCAAAGAGGCAACAUCACACCCAUUUUUAAGAAGGGUAGAAAAGAUGACCCUGGGAGGGUCACAGAAAUGAUCCAAGGGAUGGAACACCUCCAUUGUGAGGACAGGCUGAGAUAGCUGGGACUGUGCAGCCUGGAGAAAGGAAGGCUCUGGGGAGAGCCAGAGAGGUGGUAGAUGCCUCAUCCUUGGAGACACUCAAGGUCAGGCUGGACUGAGCUCUGAGCACUUGAUGGAGCUGUAGGUGUCUCUGCUCAUUGCAGGGGAGUUUGACAAGAUGACCUUUAAAGGUCCAUUCUAUGAUUUGAUAAAAAUGAAUAGUUUUAGGAUCAGCAGUUGCUAUCUGUGUCUUUAUGUCCUAAUACAACACUUAUAUAUUUUUAUUUAUAUAUAAUAAUCUGCCUCAGUUUCUACUUCGCAGAUUAAUGUCUUCUUCAUUCACUCACUUAUUCGUUUGUAUGUUUUAAUCAUUCAGUAAGCUAGAUUUAGAGAAGAUGCCUAGCUUAGACUACAAAUAACAAGUAAAGACACACAGACAAAAGAACACAACUCUUUCAGGACAAGGUCACCCAAAGCAACAUACCCUUCCUGCUGAUGCUUUCUGAGAGAUUCACAAGAGUCAUCAUGACCCCUUGUUUUUUCAGUAGAGCUGAACAGGCCAUAGCAGGGGACCACAGAGAGGAUAAAAAAAUAGCUCAGAGAAAAAAAAAAUGUUAAAUAUUAGAAUGUGCUACUUUGCAGUAAAAUUUAAACUAUUUUCUAAAUGUUUACUGCUAAACUACUAGAAGAAAUCUCAUUUUUCUUGCUGAAAACAAAGUAAUCUGUUUCAGGUUGAUAUGUGUGCCAAAGCCCUAUAUGUGUGUUGAUAUGUGUAGAAAUUUCCAUAGAGGGCACAUGAAAUUGAAGAUUUCCUGGAUUUUUCCAGAGUUUGAAGAAAAAUAAAACAAACAAAAGUCAGUACUGAUAAACUCCAGCAAAUGUCUUAUGUUGCUGAUUUCAGUAAGAACAAAUGAUCAUCCUACCUUGCAUAAUCCUCCAGGUAAGGUCAAGAGAAACAUAUACUAGAAGCCCUAACAUUAAUAACAUUACUUAUAUUUAUGGCAUAUUCCUCAUGUUCACAAUUUUGUCAUAUCCUUUCUUCUGUAUUUAAGUCAACGUGGACAAGUAUAUGAAUUAGCAGCUACAGAAGUCAACUGCUUGAAGACAUUGAUCAAAGCUGGAAUGUCAGUAGCAGGAGGUCAGUGCCUGCAGCAGCUGUGGGACAUGGUUCUUGCUCCUGCUCAAGUGCUGUGCACACUAUUUUAUGAUCUGAUGAUGGUCUGAAAAGAUGAAAGAUGAGGGAUUGCAGGACAGCUGCUCUUGAAUGAAAACAUGACAUUAUUGUUAAAAAAUAAUUCAACUUAAAGUAGCAGGAGAUAAAAAUUCCCCCUUUUCUCCACACCACAGCCACAACUGUGCUCAGAGCUCUUGCUGAAGGAUUUCCCUGAGCUUUACUGGCCUCUCAGUGGGCCCCUCUGUUUUUAGAGGUUAAACUUAAACGCCAUAUAAUCAGCAGCUCUUGUUGACUUGGAAUUACAGCAGGGUCUCAGGCAAUUUGGGAACUCCCAGCCAGUUGGAAGUGGCAGUGCAGAUGCUCGCUCAUGCAUUCAAACCCAUGCACAGAGGUGAAGGUUUUUGUUUUUGUUUUUGUUUUUCCUUUUAACAAAACCACUCUUACCAUACAAACGUGACAAGUUGCAAAGAUUUGUGAAGAAAGCAUUUACUUCACGGUUGGUUUUUGUUGUCCUGUGCCAUAUAAACACUGCAGCAUUAUGCAGCAUGUGCCUACUGCUUGCUUAGGAGCAAAGCAGUCUCCCCAAAUUAAACAGAUUUAUGCACUCAGGGGGAAAACUGACCAUAAAGAAAAGCCAUCAUUUGAUCCGUGCUAUUACAGUGGUUUGUUCAGUGGCUGAGUGAGGAACCGCACAGCUGAUGUCACUUUCCCACACUGGGUUUAUUUCUCAGUUAGCUCUGCUGCCAUGACUAGAUGUCAGCUCAGCUCCCAAACAGCAUCAUUUUUGUAUUUGUGUCUCACUGAUGAUUUCAGUUUUUACAGUUACACCCACCAACUUGAAGCACCCUGAUGUAAGGCAGUAUUUAAGGGCUCUGCACUGUACACAGCAGUGGGGAAUCAGCAAUAAAAACGUUCCUCUGCAGUGCUCACUUGUAGCAGGCAGGCAAUGCAGGGCUCAGUAAGAAGCAUCAUUUCAGUGUGCCUUUUUCCCCCCCCGGUUUAAACAAAUGUUACAGUGGGACUGCAAUGUGCCAAUUUACAGUACUUUACUAUGAAUAUUAUGAUAAUUGCUGUUUAUCUUAUAUCCUCUAUAUCCUGGAUCUGACUUAUUUUUUAAGAAGCUUAAAUGUUAUUAAUUUAAAGCAGCACAAUGAGCACCCAUCUGGCUUUCACGCCAACCUCAGAGCGGAAAGAGGCUUAACAGUCUCAUAACCUGGAAGGCUGAGUUGUGUGUGAAGAUAUUCCCGUUUCACAUCUUGAGAUUUCUCUACAGCAAAUCUUUUUUCAAGCCUAAUUCUCCAAUGCUGGAGGUUAACAACCUAGAAUAGUUUGAGAAUCGUGUAAGCCCCGCGGCCAGUUCUUGUUUGCACAGCUCCUGCAUUGAGCUGAAGGAGGGACGUUCCCCCGUCCGAAUGUGGCCGGAAGCAUCUGUGAUAAGUGUGAAGAAGGAAACCUGUGUGGUCAGAUGUACGGGGGAGGGAUGGGGUGAAGCCGAAGUUUGGCUCAGAGCUUCCGCAUGGGCCCCGUUGCUGUGGAAACGACGGCCUUUGUCUGCAGUGCUACCGCAUCUCUAUACGUUCGGAAGAGCCAUCUCUUCUCUGUGUCAUUAGGAGGGGUCUGAAACGAAGCUGAUCAAUUCAGCUUCUGUGCUAUAGACAGUAACUUAAAUUGUGUGCUUAAAAACAAGUAAUGAAUCACCCUUUUAUGCAGUGACAUAUAGUUCCAUCCCAACACCAUGCUGUGCUGCUUGGGGAGAAGAAAGGGAAGGAAUAAUAAAAAUGGAACUGUGCUUUUACAUUCGGUUGCUCACAACCUUUCCCAUGUCCUCCUUAUCCUCCCGAGCGUGCCAAUCAGUGUAUAUUCUCCUUCUAUUCAUCCAUUACUUUGUGAAUAAGAUACUUUUAUGUGAUUAUUUCUUAAAUUAAAAAGACUCAAGCUCCAAGAAGUAGAUGCUUCCACUUAGAGCACAUUUUCUCUGCUAUUUGCAGUUUGUUUGUGUGAGUGGCUGUCUGAUUGUUGCCCAGGCAACCUGAGCAGGCGUGAAUUUGAUUAGAUAUAGUUUCGCAGAUGUGGGCAGUGUUUCAAGCAUUGUUUGGUGUUUCUGUGUCUGUCCAAGACAAGUUUGUUAACUUUUAAGAGUUGUUUCUGUUUGAAGGACAGGGAAGAAAAGUCGAAGAUCUUGGUCAUUUUUAGCUGGAGUUAUCUCAGCUUGCUAGUUACUGCUUGUGGUAAGGGCCCACUUGUUCUUUUACAGAAGUCAUAUGGAUUUUUAGAAUAGAACAAGGAAAAAUGUGGAAAAAUUCCAGUACUGACAGCAGGGAGAUACGUAAAAGCACAAGCUGUUUUAUGGUCUCCACUAGAGCAGAUUAAAUUGUUAUCAUCACUCUAGCAGCUAAAAUCGUUAAAAUGUGGAGACUAGUUGGUCAUAUCGUGAUAAUAAGAGUAGCGGGAACAUAUUUUGAUAUUUAGCUAUGCACAGUCUGUUUUGUGAAGAGACAGCAUGGUACUUUAAAUGACGGCAGUGCUGCUCAGUGUGUUUAUUUUUUCCAGUGGAUGUGGCAGAUGUAAACAUCUGCUGGAUGCGUAGCUGGAGGACAGCAGUUUGACAUUCUGCAUGAGGGCUCAUGAUGAGCAAAGCUUACCUUCUUUUCCCUUAAAAAAAAAAAAAAAGCAGAAGUGGGAAGCAGAGUUCAGAGAUGAUAAAGAAAAAAUGAUCCCCCCCCCUGCACCUGAGCACCUUGGGCUUCAGGAUUCCACUCCGUCUAACAAAGACAUAAGCCUUCAAGGGAAUGUUUGGCUCAGCUUCCAGAUACAAAAUUCAAGGGAGCUGAGAUUUUCUGUUCUGUUUAAACUCUAGAAUAAACCGGAUUAACUAUUUAGCUGUGAGUACUGGCUCAGGUUUGCAAUGACCUGCAAACAGGCCUGGAAACAAGCCUUCCCUACAGUGCACCGAGUAACCUUCAGAGCUUUAUACGCUCUCUGCAAACGUGCAUCAAAAUUACUUUUUGUAAGCAAAUUAGCUCUUCUUUUAUGACCCCAUUCUCGAAAAUGAAUGAUUUGGCUGCCAGUACACUAUAAUUCAUACCUGGUCUGUGCUUUUAUAAAAUUGGAACCUUCUUCUGGAAACAUUUUUAUUUGUCUUUUUAAGGAAACAACUUCUGUGAUGACGCUGUCCAUCUAUAUGUGAGUCAGUUACUUGCUUGCAUUUGAUUUUCUUGGCAAACCAUAGCCAGAUUUGCAAAUAUCAACUAAUCUGAUAGCACAGAAAGAUCUGGAAGAAGUUCCUACACGUUCUGUUAAAAUUGGAAGCUGAGAGAAUGGGGAAGAGCCUUUAGUUAUAGAAAAACAGGGAGAACUCUGUUGCUCUCCAUUGCAUUUAGAGCAGCUGUGUAUAUAACCAAUCAGCCUUCAGGCAAAUUCUGCUAACAUAACACAAAGCAGAGGCAUCAUCACAAAAUAAUGACCAAGAGGAAGGCCGCAGGGACCAAAAGGAGCUGCUCUCAGAGCCUCCAGUAAUAGUGGGGUGGACUUGGGAACAAGCACUGCAAAACCCGCUGUGAUAGUCUUUGGAAAACAGGAGUUGUGUGGAGCACAAGCCAGAAUUUGUCUUUUCUGAUGCUCAAGAUAAUUUGUUUUACCACAUCUUCAGCUGUGAUUUGAUUCUUGUAAUGCUAUAAUGUGGUAGAAAGUAUAGCAAUAAUAGUGGGGUGGCAAAGUCCCAGGCUACAGCAAAUGAGGACAAGCCCAAGCACAGCAGUCACAGACACAGAAACAAGAAAAAAAAAAUCAUUUACCUUUGGAAGGCCUCAGGUAUGCAGGGAUUUCCAGCAAGAUACCCUUGAUUAUACUGCCAACCCUUAAAUGAGGUCUGGGAAGGGUUGGAUCCUGGCUCCACCCCUUCUGGUCACUCAGGUACAUUGCAUGCACCUGAGCUCGCCUGGGUUGGCCCUGCCUUCCCACUAGGUGCUCAAUCACUGCUUCAAGCUGUGACUUAGCAUUUCUGCUACACUCCUGGUUCUCUGUAAGGCAACUGAAAAAGCUGUACAGAUCCAAACCUCAUUAAUGGAUGACUCCUGCUGUCUUGAAUGGCUGUUGAACAGGGAUUUAUUAUUUUUUUUUUUUAAGGCACUUAGGAACCAAAGGAAAGAAACAGUAAUUAAGAAUAAUUGAAUAUCCAUAACCAGAAGGCUAGAUUUGUACUGUAGCUCAACCUCGGUUGCUGGUCAUUUAAAGGUAUAGCUAGUGAGCAAGCAAUUCUUAAAGACAGAGAUGAGAUUUUCAUCGAAAGGCUUAGGAGGUAUGCUGAAAUACAUCAUUAAAAAAAAAAAAAAAGCCAGAUCUUAUUUUGCAGGCUGCUGAAAGUAGCAAAGUAACUUAUGACUACUUUUUCUAAUAAAAUUUACUGUUUCUGAACCCUGACAAUACAGGCUUUGAUUUUCUGCAGAUCUGUUUCUUGUGCAUGUUAACUGAGAGAGCAUGAGAAUUAAUACUAUCCUUUCAGCUGAUAGCCACUAAGCGUUAAUCCUCUGUACUCUGUAGUCAGGUGGUAUUGUUUCAACAUCUACAAUAGAUAAGUCUCAACAUUUUUAUAUGACAGGUCCUAGGAGUGCACACUUGUGGGGCACGCUCCAUGCAUUACUGAAGAAUUUGCUUGUUCCCAUUCACAGAUUUGUGUUUGCUUUUUGUUGGCUUGCAUUUGUGUAAAGAACAGCCAUCUUCCAGCACAAGCAUGCUCAAAAGCCUGUUUAUGUGAUUGCUGAGAAGUGGAACAAAUACUGGAAUCUCCAUCCUGCUCUACCCCACAGAGCUGAGCAGCCCUGCUAAGUUCAUGUUGUUGUUCUCUGUUGGCCUGGCUGCAGGUACUAAUUGUGGCUGUUUGACCGAUUUUGACCCUAUUAAAAUAGAACCUGUUAUUUGAAAUAAAGGCGAAGGAGAGGCAUUGACAUAAUUCAAUAGAAUUUCAUCUUCUAUUAAAUGAAAUGGGAGUGGAUUUUGCUUUCUUAUUUGAGCUCUGACUGCUAAGUCCUUGGCAUACAAAGGCAAUUAUUCUGGUUCAAAUAUCCUUAUACUCCCAAAAUCAAAUACCUCCCCUCCUCCCCCCCAAUUUGUUUGUGAGGAAAGAAAUAAAUUGAUAUUUUGUUUCUUACUUUUUCUCAUCCUCUAGACUGACAGUUGAAGCACCAUAGGAGGCUUUAAAAGCCUGUGUAUCUAGAUGCAUUUCAUACAGGAUAGCUAUUAACUUGGCUUCACAGAAAUGGACUCAGAUAAAGAGUGAUAAGUCACAUGUUAGUAAUGGUUUAUGUCCUUUAAGAAAGGAACAAAGAAGCCCUGUCAGGGCUAUAGAUCUGGUACGUGCUAAUCGUACUGAGCAACAGAUCAUUGUUGCAAAUGUAAGGAUGCACGGACAAAAGCUCGUCAGUCCUUAUAAAUUGUCAAGCCAUAUAUAGUAUCUUGUACUCUUCUUUUAUGUUUAAGUCCCUUCAAGAAAGAAAUUACAGAAAUUACUUUUUAGAAGUAGUAAUAGAUAUCUGGCUUAUUAAGUACCUUUCUAGAAGAAUCUGUUUGACUUACAGGCAUAUGCAGAUGUGGAAACACUAAAAAGACUGAAGAAUAAAGCAAUUGGAGGUUGGAGGCUGUGCUUCAGACUUGCUCUACUCUGCAGGCUACAGUAUGAUUUCACAGGAAAAAGGUUCACUAUGCUCUUGCAUUUAAGUAGCAGCACAGAAUACCCAGUAUUUAGUCCUUAGAAUGAAUUGCUGCACCCUCUGCUACAGCCCUGUCCAAGGGUACUGAGCAAAGGCAAUGCCACAUCUAAAUUCUACUCUCUUUACACAGCUUCAGCACUAUGUCACACAUGCUGUUACUGUUUGGGAAACUCUUCAUCACAAAAAUGUUUCACUAUAACCCAAAAGUGGACUAAUGCUGUCACUGGUAAAACCACUUUUACUGGUCUAAAGAAACAGAUACAUGGUGUUAAAGCUAAAGAUUCAAUGUAAGAGUAACAGAAUAUGGGUUGUAUCCUUGAAUAUUUUUUGUACUUCUGACAACUCAAAAACCAAGCAAUAAGAUAUUUUAGCAGAACAGGAGAAACCUCUGAAGAAUUCAAGAUGUUUCAAAAAAUAUGCUGUAAUCCUAAAAAGUAAAUAAAUAAUCAAAAUACACAAAAUCAACUGCUGCCUUUGAUCUACAGUUGAAUAGUUUUUUCAUAAUCCUGGAUUCAGUUGCACCUGUUCUACCUCAGAACACAGAAGGCAACUAGAAGAUGUGGAUAUCAGUUCUCACUUAAAUGGACAGGUCUGCAUGCCAACUCUGGUAGGUCUCGUCCCUAGUGCCAUUGCUGCAGCGGGUCUCAGUCUGCAGCCACCACUGGGCAGCUCCAUCCCUGGGCACUCUCUCUGCACUGUGCAGGCUGUGAGCUGCCGCUGUGGGGAUGGAGCUGUGCAAACAGCAGGAGGAGUCAUUUUCUCUCUUAGCCACUGAUUAAAGCAUAGGGAUGAGGUGGGACUGGCACCACUGAUACCAGGUUUUUGUGCUGAGCAGGGAUUUCUGUGACACUGAAUUACCUGCGUGCUCUAAGACUCCCUAGUUCCAGAUUUGCAUACACGCAAAACAAACUAAUUUGUUACAGUAAAAAUAAACGCAAGCUCUGCAGUCCUCUUAUCUCGCCUAGUAGAUGACAUGGCAUUUGGGUGCUGCAGUAUCUAGGCUGAUAACAGUGCUUUACCACCCAGAAGAGCAAUAAGGGCUGCCUGAGGCUAUGGAAAGGACAAUUUCUGACUCACUAGGAAAAAAAAAUUUAAGCUGCUAUUAUUGGAGCAGAGGAAGUCUCUCUGAACGUAACAACAUACAAGCAAUCAGCUGCAUUGUGCUCGGGUUGUUUUUUUUUUUUUUUAAUAAAAACCUACAGCUAACAAAUAUUUAAAGUUGAAAACCUCAUGUUAAUGUAUUAAACUCAAUGCUACCAACAUUACACUUGAGAUUCUUGGCUAGACUGGAAAUAGUAAGCAUUUCCAAAAGAACUAUACAGCGCAUUGCUCUGGGGUUGUUGACAUCAGUAGUCCAUUCCACUUGUGAAGUCAGACUUUAGAAUCUGUCUGCUGUUUCACUGAAGCUAUAACAUACCAUCUUCCCUGUAUUCAUUGAACUUAUAAUUUGAUUGGAAAAACCCACAAAAAUCAUAACAACAAAAAGACAAAAAACCCAACAAAUUAAUUUGAUAGAAGUCCAGGCUGUUCAUUGUAAUAGAAGAAUUACUUCUCUACAGUGCCCACUGGAAGGAAUUUUUCAUGGCUUUGAAUUAAGAAAUCACAAGUACUUCAGUUUGGGAGAGCAGAACUAUUCAAGGGACUGACUUUCUCUGGUUCUGCUCCAAAACCAGAUCUGUAUCAGGCUUUCCAUUUUCAGUUUAUUCAAAAUGGCAGGUAUUUUGAUGUAUAGCUUAAAUUGCUGUGUUUUAUUUGUCCAGCCAUUUCCUCUUAUUAUAAAUUCUCCGCUUAUUUAGGGGAUAUUUAUGUGCUUUGCUGAAAGAAGCAGCAACUACGAGAAUUGGCCAUAAAGGUGUAUCAGAAAAAAAUUGUAACUUAGAUAUAAAUGUAUCUGAUAGUAUAA